GGGUUGUGAGGUUAAGCGACUAAGCGUACACGGUGGAUGCCCUGGCAGUCAGAGGCGAUGAAGGACGUGCUAAUCUGCGAUAAGCGUCGGUAAGGUGAUAUGAACCGUUAUAACCGGCGAUUUCCGAAUGGGGAAACCCAGUGUGUUUCGACACACUAUCAUUAACUGAAUCCAUAGGUUAAUGAGGCGAACCGGGGGAACUGAAACAUCUAAGUACCCCGAGGAAAAGAAAUCAACCGAGAUUCCCCCAGUAGCGGCGAGCGAACGGGGAGGAGCCCAGAGCCUGAAUCAGUGUGUGUGUUAGUGGAAGCGUCUGGAAAGGCGCGCGAUACAGGGUGACAGCCCCGUACACAAAAAUGCACAUACUGUGAGCUCGAUGAGUAGGGCGGGACACGUGGUAUCCUGUCUGAAUAUGGGGGGACCAUCCUCCAAGGCUAAAUACUCCUGACUGACCGAUAGUGAACCAGUACCGUGAGGGAAAGGCGAAAAGAACCCCGGCGAGGGGAGUGAAAAAGAACCUGAAACCGUGUACGUACAAGCAGUGGGAGCCUCUUUUAUGGGGUGACUGCGUACCUUUUGUAUAAUGGGUCAGCGACUUAUAUUCUGUAGCAAGGUUAACCGAAUAGGGGAGCCGAAGGGAAACCGAGUCUUAACUGGGCGUUAAGUUGCAGGGUAUAGACCCGAAACCCGGUGAUCUAGCCAUGGGCAGGUUGAAGGUUGGGUAACACUAACUGGAGGACCGAACCGACUAAUGUUGAAAAAUUAGCGGAUGACUUGUGGCUGGGGGUGAAAGGCCAAUCAAACCGGGAGAUAGCUGGUUCUCCCCGAAAGCUAUUUAGGUAGCGCCUCGUGAAUUCAUCUCCGGGGGUAGAGCACUGUUUCGGCAAGGGGGUCAUCCCGACUUACCAACCCGAUGCAAACUGCGAAUACCGGAGAAUGUUAUCACGGGAGACACACGGCGGGUGCUAACGUCCGUCGUGAAGAGGGAAACAACCCAGACCGCCAGCUAAGGUCCCAAAGUCAUGGUUAAGUGGGAAACGAUGUGGGAAGGCCCAGACAGCCAGGAUGUUGGCUUAGAAGCAGCCAUCAUUUAAAGAAAGCGUAAUAGCUCACUGGUCGAGUCGGCCUGCGCGGAAGAUGUAACGGGGCUAAACCAUGCACCGAAGCUGCGGCAGCGACGCUUAUGCGUUGUUGGGUAGGGGAGCGUUCUGUAAGCCUGYGAAGGUGURCUGUGAGGYRUGCUGGAGGUAUCAGAAGUGCGAAUGCUGACAUAAGUAACGAUAAAGCGGGUGAAAAGCCCGCUCGCCGGAAGACCAAGGGUUCCUGUCCAACGUUAAUCGGGGCAGGGUGAGUCGACCCCUAAGGCGAGGCCGAAAGGCGUAGUCGAUGGGAAACAGGUUAAUAUUCCUGUACUUGGUGUUACUGCGAAGGGGGGACGGAGAAGGCUAUGUUGGCCGGGCGACGGUUGUCCCGGUUUAAGCGUGUAGGCUGGUUUUCCAGGCAAAUCCGGAAAAUCAAGGCUGAGGCGUGAUGACGAGGCACUACGGUGCUGAAGCAACAAAUGCCCUGCUUCCAGGAAAAGCCUCUAAGCAUCAGGUAACAUCAAAUCGUACCCCAAACCGACACAGGUGGUCAGGUAGAGAAUACCAAGGCGCUUGAGAGAACUCGGGUGAAGGAACUAGGCAAAAUGGUGCCGUAACUUCGGGAGAAGGCACGCUGAUAUGUAGGUGAAGCGACUUGCUCGUGGAGCUGAAAUCAGUCGAAGAUACCAGCUGGCUGCAACUGUUUAUUAAAAACACAGCACUGUGCAAACACGAAAGUGGACGUAUACGGUGUGACGCCUGCCCGGUGCCGGAAGGUUAAUUGAUGGGGUUAGCGGUAACGCGAAGCUCUUGAUCGAAGCCCCGGUAAACGGCGGCCGUAACUAUAACGGUCCUAAGGUAGCGAAAUUCCUUGUCGGGUAAGUUCCGACCUGCACGAAUGGCGUAAUGAUGGCCAGGCUGUCUCCACCCGAGACUCAGUGAAAUUGAACUCGCUGUGAAGAUGCAGUGUACCCGCGGCAAGACGGAAAGACCCCGUGAACCUUUACUAUAGCUUGACACUGAACAUUGAGCCUUGAUGUGUAGGAUAGGUGGGAGGCUUUGAAGUGUGGACGCCAGUCUGCAUGGAGCCGACCUUGAAAUACCACCCUUUAAUGUUUGAUGUUCUAACGUUGGCCCCUGAUCGGGGUUGCGGACAGUGUCUGGUGGGUAGUUUGACUGGGGCGGUCUCCUCCUAAAGAGUAACGGAGGAGCACGAAGGUUGGCUAAUCCUGGUCGGACAUCAGGAGGUUAGUGCAAUGGCAUAAGCCAGCUUGACUGCGAGCGUGACGGCGCGAGCAGGUGCGAAAGCAGGUCAUAGUGAUCCGGUGGUUCUGAAUGGAAGGGCCAUCGCUCAACGGAUAAAAGGUACUCCGGGGAUAACAGGCUGAUACCGCCCAAGAGUUCAUAUCGACGGCGGUGUUUGGCACCUCGAUGUCGGCUCAUCACAUCCUGGGGCUGAAGUAGGUCCCAAGGGUAUGGCUGUUCGCCAUUUAAAGUGGUACGCGAGCUGGGUUUAGAACGUCGUGAGACAGUUCGGUCCCUAUCUGCCGUGGGCGCUGGAGAACUGAGGGGGGCUGCUCCUAGUACGAGAGGACCGACUUUAAGUCUCCUGAAGGAACGUUGAAGACGACGACGUUGAUAGGCCGGGUGUGUAAGCGCAGCGAUGCGUUGAGCUAACCGGUACUAAUGAACCGUGAGGCUUAACCUUACAACGCCGAAGRUGUU
rnacentral:rRNA from 1 species